rnacentral:rRNA from 1 species
UACGUAGGGUGCAAGCGUUGUCCGGAAUUAUUGGGCGUAAAGAGCUCGUAGGCGGUUUGUCGCGUCUGCUGUGAAAACUCGGGGCUUAACUCCGGGCCUGCAGUGGGUACGGGCAGACUAGAGUGCGGUAGGGGAGACUGGAAUUCCUGGUGUAGCGGUGGAAUGCGCAGAUAUCAGGAGGAACACCAAUGGCGAAGGCAGAUCUCUGGGCCGUAACUGACGCUGAGGAGCGAAAGCAUGGGGAGCGAACAGG